rnacentral:rRNA from 1 species
CGGGACGGGUGAGUAACGCGUGGGUAACCUGCCUUAUACAGGGGGAUAACAGUCAGAAAUGGCUGCUAAUACCGCAUAAGCGCACAGAGCUGCAUGGCUCAGUGUGAAAAACUCCGGUGGUAUAAGAUGGACCCGCGUUGGAUUAGCUAGUUGGUGGGGUAACGGCCCACCAAGGCGACGAUCAGUAGCCGACCUGAGAGGGUGACCGGCCACAUUGGGACUGAGACACGGCCCAA